UACGUAGGGGGCUAGCGUUGUCCGGAUUUAUUGGGCGUAAAGAGCGUGUAGGCGGCCGGGUAGGUCCGUUGUGAAAACUCGAGGCUCAACCUCGAGACGUCGAUGGAAACCAUCUAGCUAGAGUCCGGAAGAGGAGAGUGGAAUUCCUGGUGUAGCGGUGAAAUGCGCAGAUAUCAGGAAGAACACCCGUGGCGAAGGCGGCUCUCUGGGACGGUACUGACGCUGAGACGCGAAAGCGUGGGGAGCGAACAGG
rnacentral:rRNA from 1 species